CACGUGUAGCAGUGAAAUGCGUAGAGAUGUGGAGGAAUACCGAUGGCGAAGGCAGCCUCCUGGGAUAACACUGACGUUCAUGCCCGAAAGCGUGGGUAGCAAACAGGAUUAGAUACCCUGGUAGUNCACGCCCUAAACGAUGUCGAUUAGCUGUUGGGCAGCAUGACUGCUUAGUAGCGAAGCUAACGCGUGAAAUCGACCGCCUGGGGAGUACGGUCGCAAGAUUAAAACUCAAAGGAAUUGACGGGGACCCGCACAAGCGGUGGAUGAUGUGGAUUAAUUCGAUGCAACGCGAAGAACCUUACCUGGUCUUGACAUGUACGGAACCCUCCAGAGACGGAGGGGUGCCUUCGGGAGCCGUAACACAGGUGCUGCAUGGCUGUCGUCAGCUCGUGUCGUGAGAUGUUGGGUUAAGUCCCGCAACGAGCGCAACCCUUGUCAUUAGUUGCCAUCAUUAAGUUGGGCACUCUAAUGAGACUGCCGGUGACAAGCCGGAGGAAGGUGGGGAUGACGUCAAGUCCUCAUGGCCCUUAUGACCAGGGCUUCACACGUCAUACAAUGGUCGGUACAGAGGGUAGCCAAGCCGCGAGGUGGAGCCAAUCUCACAAAACCGAUCGUAGUCCGGAUUGCACUCUGCAACUCGAGUGCAUGAAGUCGGAAUCGCUAGUAAUCGCAGGUCAGCAUACUGCGGUGAAUACGUUCCCGGGUCUUGUACA
rnacentral:rRNA from 1 species